GACGGGGCCGCACAAGCGGUGAGUAUGUGGUUUAAUUCGAUGCAACGCGAAGAACCUUACCUGGUCUUGACAUCCCGGAGACCCUUAGGAAACUAGGGGGUGCUUCCAUCUGGAAGAAUCUGGAGACAGGUGCUGCAUGGCUGUCGUCAGCUCGUGUCGUGAGAUGUUGGGUUAAGUCCCGCAACGAGCGCAACCCUUGCCUUUAGUUGCCAGCAGUUCGGCUGGGCACUCUAAAGGGACUGCCGGUGUUAAACCGGAGGAAGGUGGGGAUGACGUCAAGUCCUCAUGGCCUUUAUGACCAGGGCUACACACGUACUACAAUGGCCGAUACAAAGGGCAGCGACACUGCGAGGUGAAGCCAAUCCCGUAAAAUCGGUCUCAGUCCGGAUUGGAGUCUGCAACUCGACUCCAUGAAGUUGGAAUCGCUAGUAAUCGUGGAUCAGCAUGCCACGGUGAAUACGUUCCCGGGCCUU
rnacentral:rRNA from 1 species